rnacentral:rRNA from 1 species
AACGAACGCUGGCGGCGUGCUUAACACAUGCAAGUCGAGCGGUAAGGCCCUUUCGGGGGUACGACGAGCGGCGAACGGGUGAGUAACACGUGGGUGACCUGCCCUCAGCUCUGGGAUAAGCCUGGGAAACCGGGUCUAAUACUGGAUAUGACUCCAUGACGCAUGUUGUGGGGUGGAAAGCCUUGUGCGGCUGAGGAUGGGCCCGCGGCCUAUCAGCUUGUUGGUGGGGUGAGGCCUACCAAGGCGACGACGGGUAGCCGGCCCGAGAGGGCGACCGGCCACACUGGGACUGAGACACGGCCCAGACUCCUACGGGAGGCAGCAGUGGGGAAUCUUGCGCAAUGGGGCGAAAGCCUGACGCAGCGACGCCGCGUGAGGGAUGACGGCC